GUGAACGCUGGCGGUAGGCCUAACACAUGCAAGUCAAACGGCAGCACAGUAAGAGCUUGCUCUUACGGGUGGCGAGUGGCGGACGGGUGAGGAAUACAUCGGAAUCUACUUUUUCGUGGGGGAUAACGUAGGGAAACUUACGCUAAUACCGCAUACGACCUACGGGUGAAAGCAGGGGAUCUUCGGACCUUGCGCGAUUGAAUGAGCCGAUGUCGGAUUAGCUAGUUGGCGGGGUAAAGGCCCACCAAGGCGACGAUCCGUAGCUGGUCUGAGAGGAUGAUCAGCCACACUGGAACUGAGACACGGUCCAGACUCCUACGGGAGGCAGCAGUGGGGAAUAUUGGACAGUGGGCGCAAGCCUGAUCCAGCCAUACCGCGUGGGUGAAGAAGGCCUUCGGGUUGUAAAGCCCUUUUGUUGGGAAAGAAAAGCAGCAGGUUAAUACCCCGCUGUUCUGACGGUACCCAAAGAAUAAGCACCGGCUAACUUCGU
rnacentral:rRNA from 1 species